rnacentral:rRNA from 1 species
UACGUAGGGUGCAAGCGUUGUCCGGAAUUAUUGGGCGUAAAGAGCUCGUAGGUGGCCUGUCGCGUCGGCUGUGAAAACUCGGGGCUCAACUCCGAGCUUGCAGUCGAUACGGGCAGGCUAGAGUUCGGCAGGGGAGACUGGAAUUCCUGGUGUAGCGGUGAAAUGCGCAGAUAUCAGGAGGAACACCGGUGGCGAAAGCGGCUUCCUGGUCCAGCACCGACGUUCAGGCACGAAAGCGUGGGGAGCAAACAGG